AUCUUUUUUUAUUUAUGAAAUUCUGGCUUCAUGGUUUUACUUCAGAUGACAGAGGAAGCAGAAGAAAAGAGAAGAGCUGAGAACCAUCUAGCGGAGAAGAAGAGAAAAGAGCAGUACCGAGCUCAGAAGAACAAUAACAGUGAAGUUUAUGAUGCUAAGAUGAAGCAUCUGGAACUACUAAAGAAUCUUGCUGAAAAGGUAAAAUUUUAAUUUUAAUUAAUUAAAGGGACUAGAGA